rnacentral:tRNA from 1 species
ACGUGGUUGGUUUAGUGGUAUAGUUACCGCCUGGCACGCGGUAGACCCGGGUUCCAUUCCCAGACCACGCA